CAAAUAUAACUGAGGCCCUGAUGUGUAAAGUUGGCGGCUGGCAACCUCCAGAACUCAAGGGGAGACCCGGAACGAACAGCACCAAACACGGCAGAGAAGGCAAGAAAAACCGGGUAGCCUGUGGAAAAGAUCGUUCAUUCGGAAGUCUUCAAAAACGCUAGCUGCUUCACACAGAGAGCUGUAAUUAAAGGACAAGACAGAUUUCAACAGGACAAACUAUCAGGACGAAGAUCAAGACGCGGUCCAAAUUUCCCAGCGCCUGAGUUACUUCUUCUGACGAGCACAAAGAGUCCUCAUAAUGGAGCCUGUGCCCCUGUUGAAGAUGAAAACUACCCACCUUGCUCUGAUGUGAGACCAUCUGAAGAAGAAAAAAUGCCAAUAUUUUCUAAACAACGUUUUGUAGAAAAUUUCAAAGCUACAAGAAGCUCACAAAAAUAAUACUUCACUAACAAUCAUUGGUCUUUCUUUUUUUAAAGAUUUUUUUAAAUUGAUUUUUUUUGGAAUUUCACGUCAUGCACCCCUAUGCCACUCAUUUCCUAGUCUUUCCGUAUCUGUCUUUUAUCCUUGCAGCAUCGCCCCUAAAAGAAAAUAAAAAUAUUAAUUAAACAAACAAACAAACAACAACAACAAAAAGCAACAAAGCACGUCGCUCCUCCACCUUUCCCGCCUCUCCAUCACCUCUUCAUUCAUCUUAGUGGCGUUUGGAGCUGCUGUGUGUCAUGGAGUUAGACCCUUUUGUCCACACAGCUUUACUUGCAAAUGUUCAUGGUAAUGAAUUAUUGGUCUGGUUCAAGGCCUCUGACUUCUGCUACACCAUCCAUACUGGACCCUCACAGAAACUUCUCUCAGACAUCCUGCUUUUGCCUGGAGUCAUGGAGAUCGUACAGCUAUGGUUCCGUAGGACCAGUCCCUUCACAUGGUCCGGCAGGUCAUAGAUGGAGCCGAUGUUGGGGUGGGCCAACUCAAAGCCCUGGAUGUGGGCCUGGGUGGUA